AGAAUCAACGCUGGCGGCGUGCCUAACACAUGCAAGUCGAACGAGAAAGUGGAGCAAUCCAUGAGUAAAGUGGCGCACGGGUGAGUAACACGUGACUAACCUACCUUUUAGUGGGGGAUAACCUAGGGAAACCUGGGCUAAUACCGCAUAACACUUACGAGUCAAAGCAGCAAUGCGCUGAAAGAGGGGGUCGCGGCCGAUUAGCUAGUUGGCGGGUAAUGGCCCACCAAGGCAGUGAUCGGUA
rnacentral:rRNA from 1 species